GCCGGGCAUGGUGGCUCAUGCCUGUAAUCCUAGCACUUUGGGAGGCCGAGGCAGGUGAAUCCCCUGAGGUCAGGAGUUCGAGACCAGCCUGGCCAACAUGGUGAAACCCUGUCUCUA
rnacentral:SRP_RNA from 1 species